UACGUAGGGUGCGAGCGUUAAUCGGAAUUACUGGGCGUAAAGCGUGCGCAGGCGGUUCUAUAAGACAGAUGUGAAAUCCCCGGGCUUAACCUGGGAAUUGCAUUUGUGACUGUAGAGCUAGAGUACGGCAGAGGGGGAUGGAAUUCCGCGUGUAGCAGUGAAAUGCGUAGAUAUCAGGAGGAACACCAAUAGCGAAGGCAGCUCGCUGGGACGGUACUGACGCUGAGGCGCGAAAGCGUGGGGAGCGAACAGG
rnacentral:rRNA from 1 species